UGGCUCAGGACGAACGCUGGCGGCGUGCUUAACACAUGCAAGUCGAACGGAAAGGCCCUUCGGGGUACUCGAGUGGCGAACGGGUGAGUAACACGUGGGUGAUCUGCCCUGCACUUUGGGAUAAGCCUGGGAAACUGGGUCUAAUACCGAAUAUGACCGCGCACUUCCUGGUGUGCGGUGGAAAGCUUUUGCGGUGUGGGAUGGGCCCGCGGCCUAUCAGCUUGUUGGUGGGGUAAUGGCCUACCAAGGCGACGACGGGUAGCCGGCCUGAGAGGGUGACCGGCCACACUGGGACUGAGAUACGGCCCAGACUCCUACGGGAGGCAGCAGUGGGGAAUAUUGCACAAUGGGCGCAAGCCUGAUGCAGCGACGCCGCGUGAGGGAUGACGGCCUUCGGGUUGUAAACCUCUUUCAAUAGGGACGAAGCGCAAGUGACGGUACCUAUAGAAGAAGGACCGGCCAACUACGUGCCAGCAGCCGCGGUAAUACGUAGGGUCCGAGCGUUGUCCGGAAUUACUGGGCGUAAAGAGCUCGUAGGUGGUUUGUCGCGUUGUUCGUGAAAACUCACAGCUUAACUGUGGGCGUGCGGGCGAUACGGGCAGACUAGAGUACUGCA
rnacentral:rRNA from 1 species